rnacentral:lncRNA from 1 species
GAGAGCAAAGAUAGCUUGACGUAUGGUCAGGCGAUGCUGAGCUCCAGCUUUUUCGAAGGCUCGUUUCUCCGUCUUUCUGGUUUUUAGAAAUUCAACAUGAGGGGAGGCGAUAAUGGAAAAAAAAUGGAAAUCGGUAGUAGAGGAAGAACAAAUGAAGAUGGGCAAAAAUUUUUUUAAAAAUUAAAAAGGGGGGGGUGUAGAGGCGCAGCCCUUCAGGGACGAGGACAGACGGUCGGGCGGCAAGGGGAGGAGCCGAGGAGUAGCCUCCCGGGAGAGUCCUGUUUACACUUGAGGAUCCCAAACCGCUUAGCAGAGGAAAGGGUGAUUCUGGGGAUCAAACCCAGGGCUUUGUGCAUGCCAGUCACACACCUCACCACUUCGCUGUCAGUCCAGCCUGCAGCCUGCCUCUCUGCCCACAGCCAACCCCUGCAAUUUGUAAUUAGAAUGUCAGAGCCAGCGAGCUCCAGCUGCUGUUUGCGUUUGUUCCUACAGGCGGCUGCUGUGCACUUAACCUCAGGUGUGUUUACAACUUUCACACAUGACACUGCCCAUGGCUGAUUCAGGGGACCAGCAAGGGGACCAGAAACUAAUCGGCUAGUGAAAGACGCACUUGACCUAGCAAGUUAAAGACUUACAAGAGGAUAACGAGGAAGCGUCAGUGCGUGGUCGAUGGACCUUCCAGGUGACUUUUAUAGGCUCUCUGCUCCAGUCUCUCUCAACUGCUCCAUCAUGGAUGCCUGCUGAGGUCCCACCCACCAACCACGAUUAAGUGCUAUGAAGCUUCGCUGUCUCACAAUUGUC